GACGAACGCUGGCGGCGUGCCUAAUACAUGCAAGUCGAACGAAUUUUCUUUCACCGUAGUUUGCUACACCUAACGAAAGUGAGUGGCGAACGGGUGAGUAACACGUCGGUUACCUGCCGAUUAGCUGGGGAUAACACUUGGUAAUAGGUGCUAAUAUCGCAUACUUCCAUUUACCGCAUGGUAAAUGGAUGAAAGGCUCUUUUGCGUCUCUGAUGGCUGGACACGAGGUGCAUUAGCUAGUUGGUGGGGUAACGGGCUACCAAGGCUGAGCUGCAUAGCCGGCCGGGGAGGGGGGACGGGCACACUUGGACGUGAACACGGCCCAGACUUCUAAGGGAGGGAACAGGAAGGGAUCUUCGGGAAUGGACGGAAGUCCGACCGGGCAACGCCGGGGGAGGGAAUAAAGGUUUCGGGUUGUAAAAAUCCGGUGUUAGGGGAGAACAAGGAGUGGAAUGGAAAGUUCACGUCUUGACGGUACCUAACCAGAAAGCCACGGCUAACUACGUG
rnacentral:rRNA from 1 species